UUUUGUUCCAGUUUUACUGCAGUUCCUGCAAACAUGGCAUGUGCAUCAGGAUUAAUGCUUUGGUAUUUUGCCAUCCUUGGAAGUGUAAUAUCAUCAUCAUUACGAAAUAUGACAGAUAUCGGCCCAGAGGUUUUAGACAUGUUACUUCAAACAGGCCAAUACGAAGAAUUCAGUAAAC
rnacentral:lncRNA from 1 species